rnacentral:ncRNA from 1 species
AACGACCAAUGGUAACAAUGGCUCUGAUGGGCGGUUUCGCUAGAAUAGGCAAUAAUGAGAUCACUAUUUUAGUAAAUGAGAGGGUAACGGAGGCGUGCAAACGUUUCCUCGGGCCAAACGGAGAUUGGCCCUCGAGUGCAAAGGCAGAAGAGAGCUCGACUGCAAGAUCCACCCGUCGAGCAGGGACGAAAGUCGGCCUGAGUGAUACGACGGUGCCGAGUGGAAGGGUCGUCACUCAACGGAUAAAAGUUACUCUACGGAUAACAGGCUGAUGUUCCCCAAGAGUUCACAUCGACAGGAAGGUUUGACACCUCGAUGUCGGCUCUUCGCCACCUGGGGCUGUAGUAUGUUCCAAGGGUUGGGUUGUUCACCCAUUAAAGCGGUACGUGAGCUGGGUUCAGAACUUCGUGAGACAGUUCGGUCCAUAUCCGGUGUGGGCGUUAGAGCAUUGAGAGGACCUUUCCCUAGUACGAGAGGACCGGGAAGGAUGCACCUCUGGUGUACCAGUUAUCGUUCCCACGGUAAACGCUGGGUAGCCAAGUACGGAGCGGAUAACUGCUGAAAGCAUCUAAGUAGUAAUCCCACCCCAAGAUAAAGUCAUAGUGUAUUGAUGGUUAAGCUCUUACUUUUCAUUUCAA